GCCAUAAAGAGCAGAUAAUACUGCUAUUCGCUGCGGUUACCUCCGUUGUACAUGAAACGACUUCCGCGUGGCCACACGCUUACGGUUGUGGGCCGAACCAGGAAGCAAGCUGUUGUGGCAAAAGCAAUACCCACGAAGCAUACUGCGGCAGUGACGGUAUGAACGCCAAUCAACUCAGGCCGUCACAAUGCCGUCUAAGUUCAGGUUUGAUGUGUGUCUGCACCACCGGCUUCUACAGAAAAAAACCUGGUGGUUGUCGCCCGUGCGUACGCGUCGACAUGUGCAAUUAGUGCGCUCCGCCUGUAACAGAAUUCUGCCCCCAUGAUCUUAUCGUAACUAUGGUUAUUUGGUCUUCGUAACAUCUCUUGGAUGUCGCAAUGUGGUAAAUGCGCGCUGCUUCGCAACGACCAAGCUGUCGCAAUUCUACCGUACCAACACAAAGCAGUGGAAUAAAUAUGGCAACUACUGUCAA